rnacentral:lncRNA from 1 species
AUGUUCCAUGCUUUUUUAAGGUAUAUCUUUGGGAUUCUGCCACUGUUCCUAGCUUUGGUACCAGUUGGUUCAUCUGCUUCCAUGAAUGCUUUCCUGAAAAAAUAUGAAAUGUUUCUAUCUUUCAACAUUCGCGUGCUGGAAAACCAGAUUGGACAAAAUGAUGGAUGUAACCGGUCUAACACCAAUAGAGUUUUCUGCAACACAAUGGAGGUGAAUACAACUGGACUAGAAGUGUUCUGCAAUUCAGCUUUGAAGAGAGACAUUCGUGACGUGGCAUGCCAUCUUCAAAAAAUGACCAAGAGAUGUAACUUCACUGAAAGUGUAGAGAAGAACAUGAAUGAGGUUUCCAGUAUGACAUUGGUAAUGCUCAAGGACUGUAACAACAACACUGGUAUAAAACGACAAAGAGGAAACCCAUGUCCAAAUGACCAAAGGCAAGCUUGGAAGGAAAAAAGAAUGAAUGAAGAGUACAGUUUCUUGGUUUGGGGAUUUGUAGUAAGAAGGAGUGUAGGUGGCUUCUAG